ensembl:snRNA U5 U5 spliceosomal RNA
UAUUCUGGUUUCUCUUAAAUCGCAUCAAUCUUUUGCCUUUUACUAAAGAUUUCCAUGGAGAAAGUGGCUCUAUUAAAAGUUACUCAUUAUCGCUUCUUGGCCUUUUGGCUAAGA